AGUAUCACAAAGGGGAGCCUUAUGAGGCUGAGAUUGAAGUUUUUCUAAACCCUUCGUACCUGUAUCGGUUAUGCGAGCGUAGGAAUUGUGACGAUCAAUUGA
rnacentral:ncRNA from 2 species